rnacentral:rRNA from 1 species
CGCGUAGGCGGCGCGACAAGGCGGCGGUGAAAGUCCGGGGCUCAACCCCGGAUCGGCCGUGGCGACUGUCGCGCUGGAGCACAGUAGAGGCGGGUGGAAUUCCGGGUGUAGCGGUGGAAUGCGUAGAGAUCCGGAAGAACACCGGUGGCGAAGGCGGCCCGCUGGGCUGUGGCUGACGCUGAGACGCGACAGCGUGGGAGCAAACA